UCCUUGGAGGGAGAGUAGUUAUGUCUUUUCUAUUCACUACUCUGCACCAACAAACUUACAAUAGUACCUAGCACAUACUUGUUACUCAAUAAAAAAGCAUUAAAUAAAUGAAGAAAAAUAAACUAGAAGGAUUGGCAAUGUAUACCAUGUAAAUUGUACACUUCAUAACAUAACUGAUGAAAUAUAUUGCAAACAUGACAAUGUGAUAGCAGAGUAGCCCGCAGUCGUGCCAAGAUGAUCAGACAUCCCUGGCCUCUUCUGCCCCUUGCCCAUGGUUCCCUUCCAGAUGGCGCCUUAGACUUGUGGCAAACUUUUCAGCGUGACUCUGCUUUGGGCCAAUCCUGUUUGGCUGGGCAUCUACCCAUGAAGAGAUGGGAAACUUUGGGUGUUUCAUUGGGCUGACCAUAGAUCUGAAGCAUUCAACAAAGAAAGAGAGAAGAGGGAGAGACGAGCAUAAGGGACAGGGAAGGUAGAUCACAGGUGUUGUGGUGGUAGAACUACAGGGUCUACAUGUGAUGAGAAAAAUCAAGUACUGUACAAAAUUUAACAACAACAUAAGAAAAUCAAUUCAUUAAAAAAAAAUAGUAGGUGUAAA